rnacentral:tRNA from 1 species
GGUGGCUCAAUGGUAGAGUGCUUGCCUUGCAUGCAUGAAGCCCUGGGUUCCAUUCCUCAGCACCA